rnacentral:sRNA from 1 species
AAAUCUGUACAGGAUACUGAUUGCCUGCUUCUGAACUGUGGGUAUGGUUGGCUGUGGAUAAUGUAGAACAUCUAAGAAAUGAUGGUCUGCUGCAUGUAUCAGGCCACAUCUAAGAGUCUUAUUGUUGAGCACAGCUACAUUUACACUGAAUAUAAGCUUUAUUCACCAUUCCAGGCCUUGACCUUAUAUUCAAGAAUGGCAGCCUGGCAUGGUGAGUAGAACUUAUUAGGGUGCAUCGUAGAUUUGCUCAGUAGGGGCUCAAGAAUUGACACAAAUACCGACGGAGUUGGAACAAAUAAAUUAUGUGUCUGGAAGAUAAAUAUUUAAAUAAUUCGAUUAAGGGUGGAAAUGAUAAAAGUGUACUUUGUUAUAAAGAUUGGAGAUCCCAGUAAGAGUAAUAUGCUCUAUGAAAAAUUGUAAGUUCUUACAUUACUAGUUUAUGAGUACUUGUUACUGUUUUCACAUUUUUGCUUAUACUCAUACUGUACUCCUACUUUGCUGUACUCACACUGGUUUAUCUCCCAAGCCUCAGGUAGAUCAUGCUUCCCUGACUCCCCGAGACAGGUUUCUCCUGUACCCUCAAAACAUUUAUCAACGUUCUCAUUUUAUAUUUAUGUGUAAUUUUACAUUAUGUUCACCUUUCUCAUGAAUUUUGCUAGAUCAGGAACUGUGUCUUUGGCCACUGUUACAUCCCCAGAACGUUGACUAGUGUUUUAUGAGUAGAAGAUGCUCUGUGAACAUUUGUUUGGUUAAUUAAUUAGGUACCAGUUUGGUAGCCAAAAUAUGGUACUAAAGGUUUAUAUUGUGAAUGUGGAACUGUAUUGAAACAUUAAUGUUAUUGCUGCCAUCCCCAGGGCAAUAGUCUGACCUUGAUUGACCUUCCCGGCCAUGAGAGUUUGAGGCUUCAGUUCUUAGAGCGGUUUAAGUCUUCAGCCAGGGCUAUUGUGUUUGUUGUGGAUAGUGCAGCAUUCCAGCGAGAGGUGAAAGAUGUGGCUGAGUUUCUGUAUCAAGUCCUCACUGACAGUAUGGGUCUGAAGAAUACACCAUCAUUCUUAAUAGCCUGCAAUAAGCAAGAUAUUGCAAUGGCAAAAUCAGCAAAGUUAAUUCAACAGCAGCUGGAGAAAGAACUCAACACCUUACGAGUUACCCGUUCUGCUGCCCCCAGCACACUGGACAGUUCCAGCACUGCCCCUGCUCAGCUGGGGAAGAAAGGCAAAGAGUUUGAAUUCUCACAGUUGCCCCUCAAAGUGGAGUUCCUGGAGUGCAGUGCCAAGGGUGGAAGAGGGGACGUGGGCUCUGCUGACAUCCAGGACUUGGAGAAAUGGCUGGCUAAAAUUGCCUGAGAGGCAGCUCAAAAGCACAAGACCUGGAUGUGUGACACACAGUUUUGGAAAAAGGUCUGUGGUAGUCUGGAGUUGAUGAGGAAGGGGUACAAUACAAGAUGUGGUUAGAAACAUUUCCUUGUUCUGGAAACAAAGUACUGUUGAAACU